CGACGAUGGGCGGGGCGAGGGGUGGGGUCCGUGCCCCACGUGCUGGCGGGAAGGAGGGGUGGGGGAGCUCUUUGUUCUCGCGCUGCUCGCCUGAGCGGGCGGUUUUGUGCUCUCUUUGCCCGUCUGUCUAGCUGAGUGGGCAGCGGGGCUGGAGUUUGAGGUGCUCCGGCCGCCGCCUCACAGUGACUGGGGAGAGGAAGGAGGCGAGGGGCCCGACGGGAGCGGGGAGGAGCCUCGCGUCUCAGUGCUGCUGAGUUUGAAUCAGUUCGAAAGUGGGAGCUGUAACGGUUUUAACAGUCGUGCUGCUGCUUCCGCGCGCGGCAGAGAGGGGAGGGGACGGGACGAGACGGAGAACUGUGGGAGAGGCGCGACUGCGACCAGGCGGGAAGAGCCAGGCGGGGAUGGGGGGGUGGUGCUGGCAGGAGCUGCUUACCUCAGCAGGGUCCGCUCCCUGCCUGUCGUUUCCGCGGUAGGCUCUCCUUCCCGGCCUCGCGCCGUGCCGAGUGUUGCCUGGCUGAGUCACUAACCAGAGUACGUGAUGCAUCCUCCUGCCAUGUCAUCCGACCUUUGUGCACCCAAACCUAGCACGCAUCUGCCUUUUUGUUUCAUGCAGUUCCUUACGAUUUUUGGUGCCUUGCUGUUCUGCACCCAGCAUGGAUUUUUCGCUGUCAAAAUCCCAUUGUGUCCCAUCUUGGCAAUGGUGGUAAAUUACAGCAACAGCAAGGUGCCCGUUCUGCAUACGGCUGGGAUCCUGUUGCUAGUGGUAUGCUGUCUCCAGCUUAAGGUUGCUACCAUUUUCCCCUGUUUCUAUUCUGCGACCCACGCUCAGUCACGUUGACAAGGAUGUACUUAAAAUCUCAAGGAUUCAUUCCUCUUUAGCCUUCUGUUGUCUCACUGUUUGGCUGCUGCAGCCCUUCUUUGUUGAUGAAAGACAAAAUUGCCAAGAUAAUUUUCCCACCAUGAUCUUUCAUCCACACUUGUAACCAUCUCUCCUUUCUGUGCCUCCUGUGUUAAGCACUACUUCUGAGGUAGAACAGAUUGUGAGCCUUGUCCUCUCACUGUCUGUUCCCAAUAUUUCUCAUUUGUGAGUAUUGCCUUCCUUUGUGAAUCACUUGUGACACCUUCAACUACGGUCUCAUCUUUGUGUGAAGCCCAAAAAUAAGCACUGUCCACCAUGACGGAGUUCUGAGUGAUAAAAAUCCUGUGACAGAAGAUCACUAACACAGCUUCAUUCCUAAAUCUUUCAGCUGUGUUAUAGGCCAAAUGAGGCUCAGAGUUCUUUUAAUGCGGAACAGAAAUGUUUUCUUAUGUUUACAUGUCACAGAAUGAUAUAUUGUCAUACUCUUUCUCUGCUUUUACUAGAGUAGGUGUAUGGGAACUGUUGAAUCACGGCCUGAACCUCUGAUUGACCCCCUGAGGCGUGUGCUGAGUCAGCUGCAGGGGCACAGGUGAAUGCAAUUGGCUCCACCCCUCCUAGACCCCAUUUAAGGGCUGACUCAGAAGGAGGAAGGCUCUCUACCUGGAGAUUACUCCUCUUGGAGCCCUUCUGUGAGCCCAAGACAUGGGAGGGAAAAUAUCUGAUCCCUAAAUAUGCCUGGUGCACAGAUGAAUCCAGCAAGGGCAACGCAAGCAAGUGGAGAGCGAUAGCAUACCAUCCCUCCACCAAGACAAUCUGGUUUGAUGAGGGGGGAUGGUCAGAGCAGCCAAUGGGCAGAACUGUGAGCUGUGUGGAUGAUUAUGACCAAGGAACUCAGUGAUGGUAUCCUGAACAUCUGCACAGAUAGUUGGGCUGUGUACUGGGGACUCACUCUUUGGAUUGCACAGUGGGCCAUCCAGGAAUGGACUAUCAGCACCUUACAAAUCAGGUGCAAAGAUAUGUGGUUAGACAUAUGGAAUAAGUUAAACAAAGGACUGUACGUGUCUACCAUGUUUCUGGUCACCAAUCCCUACAGUCACUGGGAAAUGAUGAAGCUGACACACUGGCCUGAGUUUGAUGUAUUGAGAAUUCACCAUCUGAGAACAUCGCCUGUGGUUACAUCAGAAGCUUUGGCAUGCUGGACAAAAGACAAUAUGGGCAGCUGCUAAAGCAUGGGGGCUGCCCAUACAACUAUUUUACAUUGCCCAGGUAUGCUGAGACUGUGAUGCUUGCUUCAAGAUAAGACUGAGAUCAUUGCCCAGAGCAACAGCCCAUCUUGCUAGAGGAUGCAACCCUCUCCAGAGAUGGCAGGUUGAUUACAUUGGGCCUCUCCCUUGGUCUGAGGGGGUGAGAUAUUCCCUGACCUGCAAAUGGGCUAAUGCAGGCCUAUCCAGUACCAAAAGCAAACCAGGUGUAUACCAUCAAGGCACUUACUAAACUGAUGUCUGCCUACAGGACACCUCAAGUCAUUGAGAGUGACCGAGGGACCCAUUUUACUGGUGCAGUGAUACAAUGCUGGGCAGAAGAAAACACUGAAUGGUGAUUCCACCUGCCAUAUAAUCCAAUGGGGACAGGUCUCAUUGAACAUUAUAAUGGUAUUCUUAAGGCUGCUGUAAAGACAGACUCUCAGUCCCUGCGGAUAAAGAGUUUAUCCUGGUGGAUAAAGAGACUCUAUGAAACCCUGUGGGACUUGAAUGAAAGUCCUAGAGAUGGCAGACCCAGUGCUCAGAAAAUGCUACAGACAUGGGCCUCCCUGCUUAGGAUCCAUAUUACAGGCACUGAUAAUCAGGAUCACUGGAAGGAAUGAAAUGCCUUUGAAGCGUUCCAGUGUUGCUGUGGGAUCAUGUGUGACACCAGGUGAUGGUCUACAUGGGACUGAUGGAGCAUAGGAUGGACCUCCACCACACGACUACAUACCUCCAGUAACACCACCAAGCACUGGCCCAUAAAAGAGCAUGAACUUUCACCUUACACCAAUAAUCACUUGUCUUAAAUGUUGUCAAUAUGCAUCGCAAUGAGAAAUUGUAUAAGCGUUGUGAUAUGUUGGAUUUCUGUAUUAUGGAGCACUUACCUUUAGUUAACUCGAUCGUUGGUUCACGCCAUGAAGUGGUGGAGUGUAUGGGAACUGUUGAAUCAUGGCCUGAACCACUGAUUGAUCACUUGAGGCAAGUUCUGAGUCAGCUGCAGGAGCACAGGUGAAGGCAAUUCACAUGUGUGAUCGGAAGAGGUGGAGUCUGGCUCCACCUCUCCUAGACCCCAUUUAAGGGCUGACUGCCACUAAGGAAGGAUCUCUUUCUGGAGACUGCUCCCUUCGGAGUUUUUCUGCGAGCCUACGACAUGGGAUCCCACAGGUGUUCAAGAGUGAAAUCCCAUGACAGACAUGGAAAUGUAUACGAGGCAAAGUUAAAGAAACAGACUGCAAUCCCUCCCACUGAGGAUGUACUUCAGCUGAGCACCAUGAUCCAUGGUAGAUGUCA
ensembl:lncRNA